ensembl:lncRNA
GCUGCAGCUGCUAAAAUGGCUGCUAUUUCUGCUAAAGCAGCCCCAGGGGCUGGGAUGAUGCUCUGAACCCUCGUGGGCUGAAGGGAAGAAAUGUAUGUUUUAUAAUGAGGCAAGAGAUGUGCAGCUAAGGAGCUCACUAAAGCGUACAGUCGCCGGCGCCGUGGGGGGACUGCUGGCGUCCGCGCGGCUGCUGGAUUUAUGAGCCCCAGCGGCCUCUUCCCUCGGCCCCUUCCCGGGUACCUGAUUCCCAUCUCCGCUCCCGCUGCACCUCUUGCUUCCUCUCUGCCCUGCCCUCCUCCCCGCUCUCCAUUUUGAAUAUACGGGAGUAUUUUUAGAGGAGUGAAUUAUCUGAUACUUAUCUCUGACUCCAAGGCCUGUAGGUGCAAUAUCCAGUCCUGAAGCCCACGGACCUGCAGGAAUUUAUAGUGGCAGAUUGACAGCGAGUUUUUUUCUGUAGGUUGUUUAUAUUAUUGUAAGCUGCUUAGGUGGAAAGCUUUAACAGAACACUAGAUAAAAAGAAAAUAGGUUUUAAAACCUCCAGUAACUCUUUUUUCUUAACUUGUUCUUGAGCGAAAAAUGCGAGCCCUSGGAAAGUCCCUGACAGGUCCUUUCGCAAGGCACUAGCACAGACGGCAGCAGACCGCGACGGGCAAAACGCCCGCGGCUGGGGCUUGGCAGCAGCAGGCUGAGAAGCUGGGGGAGCAAUGGGACGCGGAAGAGAGGUCCGCUAAGGAAUACUGGUGCUCAGGAACGGGAGUAAAUGAAGGGUCUUCACUUCUUCCGCAGGCUGAUUUUUAACUCAAGCGUCAAAUGCUUCAAGUCGGCUCUUGUUAUUACCGAAGGAAACAGCGCAGAGCGUGGCAGAACACGGAGGGGAAAACGCGGCGGCCGCGCAGGUCUGGAGGGAGAUGCUGGGCUGCCCCAGGCGCCGGGAGCUGCCCGCCCGGAGCUGGGUCCCGCCGGACCUGCUCCUGUGGUACUGCGCUCCCCUGGGGCAAGCUCCAGACCCCGCGUCCCGCGACUUGCGUUUGAGCAAGAGUCGCGUGUGCAUCCCAUACCUCCUGUCCCAGGGCCACUUAGGAGCAUUUACACGGGAAAAAGAGCAAAGGAAGCAACAUUUAAAAUUUAAAGGUGCAAACCAUACCUAUAUUUCUUUGUUUUAGCCAUGCAUAGUAGGAUGUGCAGGAUGGGAAACUAGGAAAUAAUAAUUAGACCAGUUACAAAGCAAAGCUGGACUGAGACAUCUGAACUCUCAAUUCACUACAUGAAAUCUGUUGAAAUGCACUCCUUUUUGGUAUUAAUAUCAACAUAUGUUAUAACUAUAAGAAAGACUGAGAAAUACAACUCCCAUUAUGAAAGUGGCAUCACUUGGAAGAUUUAUAAGAUUGACAAAGCCUUUAACAUGAAAGAAAAAAGAAAAAUGAAACUUAUUUUAGGGUAGCAUACAAAAUCAUAAAUAGCAGUUUUGUCAUGCACGUUUGCUGAUUAUCAGCUGCUUUCAAAUUUAAGACCUAAUAUUAGAGAAAGGAAGCAAACUGCCAGCUGCAAUUUGAACCCCAAUUUCAAAUGAAUCCCAAAUUUGUCCUGUAGUAUAUCAGGUCACUAAUACCCUAAAAUAUAGCUUUACCGUAGUAGCAAAGAAGUCAACCUUAUGCCAGAUUUUUUCUCAGAAACUUUCAUAGAACUAUCUUCAUUCUGGAGAUAUCAGUAUCGGGUUAAUUCUGAAUUUCAGUGGACUUCUAAAAACACCACAUGGACUGGACAUAUGGAUUAAUUGUAGAAGGAAUAGACACUAUCACUUAUCUCUGAAAAACAAUCAAUAUUGUAGAAAGGCUAGUAAGCAGAAUUAAAUGGAACAAUAAUUUUCUUUAAUCAGUUUUGAGCUAUUAUGUACUACCAGUUUUCGUUCUGACUUCUUGUCUGCCCCUAAAACAUUUAGUGCUAGGUUAAUUCUAGAAUUAUUGUUACAGCUUGUCUCAGAUUUUAAUCCUCAAACUUUAAUGGCUCAUCUAUACAGAAAGGAAUGUGUUUUACCGUUCUUCUUAGAUAUGUUUCUUAAAACCUUCUUCCUUUCUUCCAGCAUCUGUGCAUUGACACAUGCCUAUCAGUAUAUCACCACAGUGCUAUCA